CGUAACUGUAACUAUGCGGUAGACAAGAGACCGAAACGAGGAAGCCUCUUUUGUAUGGAAGAAAGCGUUUUAUAAACCAAGGUUAGAGUUCGUGAGGCGUGGUUCACUUUCUACUUUAUUUCGUGCAUUGGAGGCAGUUUCAGGACAUUGACUGCUUUGUAAGAAAACCAAACCACACAAACAGCAGCUAAAACUGAAGAGGCUGAAGAAAACUGCGAAGUGUUUUACGAAGUCCCACAAAAUCAACAUGUCAUAUGAGCUCUGAACUGAAUGUGCCUCAAGUAAUGCUGUGUGAGAAAACAUCACUUUUGGAUAAUAUACAUACCUUUCCCUGAUAUGUUUCGACUCGAUGCAGCAAAAUGUUGAUGAAAAUCAGCAGAUGGUGCUACAUCACUAGAAUGCUCCUCUCCAUGCUCAUGAUGA
rnacentral:lncRNA from 1 species